rnacentral:rRNA from 1 species
GUAUGCUGGAGGUAUCAGAAGUGCGAAUGCUGACAUAAGUAACGAUAAAGCGGGUGAAAAGCCCGCUCGCCGGAAGACCAAGGGUUCCUGUCCAACGUUAAUCGGGGCAGGGUGAGUCGACCCCUAAGGCGAGGCCGAAAGGCGUAGUCGAUGGGAAACAGGUUAAUAUUCCUGUACUUGGUGUUACUGCGAAGGGGGGACGGAGAAGGCUAUGUUGGCCGGGCGACGGUUGUCCCGGUUUAAGCGUGUAGGCUGGUUUUCCAGGCAAAUCCGGAAAAUCAAGGCUGAGGCGUGAUGACGAGGCACUACGGUGCUGAAGCAACAAAUGCCCUGCUUCCAGGAAAAGCCUCUAAGCAUCAGGUAACAUCAAAUCGUACCCCAAACCGACACAGGUGGUCAGGUAGAGAAUACCAAGGCGCUUGAGAGAACUCGGGUGAAGGAACUAGGCAAAAUGGUGCCGUAACUUCGGGAGAAGGCACGCUGAUAUGUAGGUGAAGCGACUUGCUCGUGGAGCUGAAAUCAGUCGAAGAUACCAGCUGGCUGCAACUGUUUAUUAAAAACACAGCACUGUGCAAACACGAAAGUGGACGUAUACGGUGUGACGCCUGCCCGGUGCCGGAAGGUUAAUUGAUGGGGUUAGCGGUAACGCGAAGCUCUUGAUCGAAGCCCCGGUAAACGGCGGCCGUAACUAUAACGGUCCUAAGGUAGCGAAAUUCCUUGUCGGGUAAGUUCCGACCUGCACGAAUGGCGUAAUGAUGGCCAGGCUGUCUCCACCCGAGACUCAGUGAAAUUGAACUCGCUGUGAAGAUGCAGUGUACCCGCGGCAAGACGGAAAGACCCCGUGAACCUUUACUAUAGCUUGACACUGAACAUUGAGCCUUGAUGUGUAGGAUAGGUGGGAGGCUUUGAAGUGUGGACGCCAGUCUGCAUGGAGCCGGCCUUGAAAUACCACCCUUUAAUGUUUGAUGUUCUAACGUUGGCCCCUGAUCGGGGUUGCGGACAGUGUCUGGUGGGUAGUUUGACUGGGGCGGUCUCCUCCUAAAGAGUAACGGAGGAGCACGAAGGUUGGCUAAUCCUGGUCGGACAUCAGGAGGUUAGUGCAAUGGCAUAAGCCAGCUUGACUGCGAGCGUGACGGCGCGAGCAGGUGCGAAAGCAGGUCAUAGUGAUCCGGUGGUUCUGAAUGGAAGGGCCAUCGCUCAACGGAUAAAAGGUACUCCGGGGAUAACAGGCUGAUACCGCCCAAGAGUUCAUAUCGACGGCGGUGUUUGGCACCUCGAUGUCGGCUCAUCACAUCCUGGGGCUGAAGUAGGUCCCAAGGGUAUGGCUGUUCGCCAUUUAAAGUGGUACGCGAGCUGGGUUUAGAACGUCGUGAGACAGUUCGGUCCCUAUCUGCCGUGGGCGCUGGAGAACUGAGGGGGGCUGCUCCUAGUACGAGAGGACCGGAGUGGACGCAUCACUGGUGUUCGGGUUGUCAUGCCAAUGGCACUGCCCGGUAGCUAAAUGCGGAAGAGAUAAGUGCUGAAAGCAUCUAA